CUACCAUCCCUUUAUUCUCCUCUGUCCAAUAUAAUCUCAUAGGUCUGUUGGAUGAUUGAUGGGUUACAAUCUUAAGGUAUAAGAGACUAUUGUGAUCAACACAAUGGCCCCCUUUCCCACCAGCUUCAGGACUCAUCAUCAUGUCACCUGAUUUCCUAGACAGUUGGCUGGAUUAGUAUAUAUUUUUAUCAUGGGGACCAUAUCAUCAAAAAUAAUUCUGAGAUACGUGCUGGAUAGAGCCUGGGAAUUUCAAUGUGAAAUAUUAUAUUCAGUGUGACUAUAUCCAUAGAGGGAUGAUCAGUCAUGUUUGAAUUUAUUCAUUAGCAUAUUACUUAUUGCUGUGUUAUGAAUAAUCCACACCCACACAAAUUAAGAAAGCAAUAUUUAGCAUCUCACAGUUUCUAUAGGUUAGGAAUUCAGAUGGGUCCUCUGCUGUAGAGGGUCCCAAAUUGCCAAGGCUGCUUCUCAAGGAUAGACACUUCCCAAACUCAUUCAUGAGGUGGCUGGGAGGAGUAAAUUCUUAAGGGAAGCUGGGCUGAGUCUCAGUUUCUUGCUCUCUAUUGGAUGGAAGACACCUCCAAUUCUCGCCCAUGUGGAUGUCUUCAUAGGGCGGCUCAAAACGUGGCAGUUUGCCUUAUCGGAACAAGAAGACACGACAGGGAAUAUAAGUAAGAUGGAAGUUGUGGCCUUUUUGACAUGCUCAGAGCUGUCACUUCCCUUUUGCCGUGUUAAGUGCCUUAGGACACGUUACCAUGUCCAGGUUGCAUCCAAGGGGAGAGCAUUAGACAAGAGCAAGAACACCAAGAGCUAGGACCACUGGAAUCAAUGUAAGAAGGCUGCUACCAGAGUUGGUUUGUUUGUCCAUUCAGCCGCUCUGGAGCUUUUUCGGCACUGGGCUAGGCACGGCCUUUUUCAACUCCAGCACUGCUUUAUCUCAGUUAUUCAGAACAAAAUUUCACACUACUUGGCGAACUAUUGAUUAGAAAUUCAGAUUAGCAUCAUGACUGCUUUUGUAACUUAUACAUUCCCACUCUCUUUGAGAGAACACAUAUUAAUUAUUUUUCAUUCUCAUGUCUAUAGAAAAUCCUCUUCUUGAUUUAAAACAAAAUGUUUCAAUCAUUGAAUCACUGAGGCACUGAAGGAAUAAAUAAUGCAACUAUAUACCCAAAACAGAAUAGAUAGGGAAAGAAAUCUGUUUAGAUAAAUAUGUCAACGUAGGUGAAUUCACCUAACCAAAUUAUGGUUAUUUCAUUAACUGUCCAAUCGAAAUUCCUAAUCCUCGUUUUAUUUGCUGAGUUAAAUUUGUUUAACAUGAAGCCCUGACAUCUUCUAAAAUAAUUAUGCUUCUAAAUGAAAGUUUAAUUUUUAAUCAUUUGCUUUGCUAACACAGAAACAAAUGAGAGGAUAAUAUGACAAUUUAAAGGAUUUGCAAUGGAUCCCCCAGAGCAGGAGAGGCAUGCAUUUUUCCCAGGUGCUGCUGACUAAUGGAGGAAUUUAAAAUACAGUAAUAGAACUGCUUCCUCCUAAUAUUUGCUUCUUUGAUGAAAAUGAAGCCGGAGGGAAUUAGAAGCCAAUAGAGGCACAGCAAGUCAAUGCUACCUAAUCAAUCAUGGGCCUUGAGGGUGACUACUGUCUUCUUCCAUGGUGCAGUUCUCUGGUGGAUUUCUGGACUCUACAUUCAGGACACUGCAGUGCAAGUCUCAUUAUGAAAAGAAGCCAAUUCCCGGUGAAACAGAAUGAAACAGUUUUCACCUGAGAGCAGAAGAGGGUCUUGCUAAGCUGGGCAGGCUGGGCUCAAACAUGUGGUCCUCUUGCUGCAAUCUCCCAGAGUGCUGGGACUGUAGGACACAACACCGGACACCCACACCCUGAAGGAGGAGACUUUAUUUUGGCUCGCGGUUUGAGUCCACAGUAGGCUGGUUCCAAGGCUGGACCGACGGCGUAAAAAGGUCUGGUGGAGAAAAGCUGCCUACAUCAGGGCAGCCAGGAAGGGGAGCCGCAAGGGAGGAGCUGGCGAGGGAGAUGGGCCCUUCCGGGGUACACCCCAGUGGCCUCUCCCACCACGUCUCUCCUGCCCGCAGCACACUCCGUUCUGAACUCAUGGAAGAACUGAUCCACCGUUGAGUGGAGAUUGAAGAUCCAGUCACUUUUCCCACACAUGAGGAAUUCAGGGGACAUUUUAGGUCUAAACCAUAAGAGUGAUUUUGUUUAAAGUAUGCCCCUUGCAAAAGAAUCUGGAAUUAGGUUUUACUUUUUGUUAUCCAAUUUGAAAUUCUUUUUAAAAAGGAAAAUUAAA